AGUGUACUUUCUGGGGCCUCCGGGCACAUAAUUCCUGUGGCCUCUGGGUGUGUACCCU
rnacentral:pre_miRNA from 1 species